rnacentral:rRNA from 1 species
CUUGCUACCGGACCUAGCGGCGGACGGGUGAGUAAUGCUUAGGAAUCUGCCUAUUAGUGGGGGACAACAUCUCGAAAGGGAUGCUAAUACCGCAUACGUCCUACGGGAGAAAGCAGGGGAUCUUCGGACCUUGCGCUAAUAGAUGAGCCUAAGUCGGAUUAGCUAGUUGGUGGGGUAAAGGCCUACCAAGGCGACGAUCUGUAGCGGGUCUGAGAGGAUGAUCCGCCACACUGGGACUGAGACACGGCCCAGACUCCUACGGGAGGCAGCAGUGGGGAAUAUUGGACAAUGGGGGGAACCCUGAUCCAGCCAUGCCGCGUGUGUGAAGAAGGCCUUAUGGUUGUAAAGCACUUUAAGCGAGGAGGAGGCUACUUUAGUUAAUACCUAGAGAUAGUGGACGUUACUCGCAGAAUAAGCACCGGCUAACUCUGUGCCAGCAGCCGCGGUAAUACAGAGGGUGCGAGCGUUAAUCGGAUUUACUGGGCGUAAAGCGUGCGUAGGCGGCUUAUUAAGUCGGAUGUGAAAUCCCCGAGCUUAACUUGGGA